UACGUAGGUGGCAAGCGUUGUCCGGAAUUAUUGGGCGUAAAGGGCGUGUAGGUGGAUUCUUAAGUCGUGUGUCUAAGUGCGGGGCUCAACUCCGUAUAGGCGCAGGAAACUGGGAAUCUUGAGUGCAGGAGAGGAAAGUGGAAUUCCCAGUGUAGCGGUGAAAUGCGUAGAUAUUGGGAGGAACACCAGUGGCGAAGGCGACUUUCUGGACUGUGUCUGACACUGAGGCGCGAAAGCUAGGGGAGCGAACGGG
rnacentral:rRNA from 1 species